rnacentral:rRNA from 1 species
CCUACGGGUGGCAGCAGUGGGGAAUAUUGCACAAUGGGGGAAACCCUGAUGCAGCAACGCCGCGUGAGUGAGGAAGUAUUUCGGUAUGUAAAGCUCUAGCAGCAGGGAAGAGAAAAGAAGGUACCUGAAAAAGAAGCCCAGGCUAACUACGUGCCAGCAGCCGCGGUAAUACGUAGGGGGCAAGCGUGAUCCGGAUUUACUGGGUGUAAAGGGAGCGGAGACGGAAAGGCAAGUCAGAAGUGAAAGCCCAAGGCUCCACCAUGGGACUGCUUUUGAAACUGUCAAACUAGAGUACGGGAGAGGUAAGCGGACUUCCUAGUGUAGCGGUGCACUUCGUCGAUAUUAGGAGGACCCCCAGUGGCGAAGGCGUCUUACUGGACCGAAACUGACGUUGAGGCUCGAAAGCGUGGGGAGCAAACCGGAUUAGAUACCCUGGUAGUC